CUAAUCGGUGAGCCAACAACCAAUCAGAAACGAGGACUCUCACACUCCGCGGUUUACGAUUGGCUGAAAGCCUGAACGGGCAUUUGGGACGUGUGUUUCUCGACCUCAUUCAUGUUUACAUUUGUACGACUUCAACACGACCUGCCAACAGCAACCUCGACAGCAACGUUACAAAAAGCCGAUCGGUUGGUGAUACUCCCCGGGAACAAGAGAACACACUUUUUUUUUUUUUUUUUGCUGACGGUAAUGUCCGGUUCACGGCGUUUGUUAUUCGUUUAAAAGUCGGUUAUCAGAGUUUCUAAGCUAGGCUCUCCGGCUAGGGGAGAAGUCGGCAUCCCGUUACCAUAGCAACGGCACGGCCUAUACAUUUAUACUCCAGAGGCUGACGGUGCAUGAGGAUGAGAUGUGGCUCUUUGGUUUGUCCACUGAGGAGCGUGACGGUGUCUUAAAAGGCUCUUAAAACACAGACUCCUGUACCAACGAGGUGUAGAGGGGACAGCAUCUUCCAUUGCCUUUAUCUUCACAAAUGUAGGCUUAAUAAUGCAGGAUGGGUCUACCUGUGGACAGCCCAGACAGAAACAAUGGCGCACAUAAAUAUGAACAGCAGGGAGAGGGAGACGAGGGCGAAAGCCAAACUGAAGCCUGCAUGCGCACCCCACCACCCAUCACCAAGAAGAAGAGAAAAAGCAAGAAGAGAUGACUGUGGAUCAACCUCACUAACUGCAAAUAUGAAAGUG